UGUUAGUUGGCCACCUGAAGCCAGUUAACCACCGGAGUGGGGUGGCCGACAGGGGCAAAUGAGCUGCAAAGUCCAUAACUAGCUGCUAUGGCUGGUAUCAGUGGCCUUCAUGUAAAUAUCCCCCGGUGACGUGGGCUCAGAACAAAGAACAAGUGUAUCAGAACAAGCUGGUCGGUCUCCUAACAAGGUGUCUGUCCUUGAGAGAUUUGUCUCGUCAUCAAUCAGCAGCGGCCGCAGAGCCUGCAGAAAGAUUGAGAGCUGGAGUGAAAGAUACAAAGAGGAAUGAAAAGAACGAGCUCUGUUGAGGCAAGCCAGGUCAACGUGUCAUCAUCCAGGUCAAUCAGACCUUGUUCGACAUUCGGCGGCCGGUGUUUGGGGCAACUAGUUACUAUAUGUUCAACGUUGACAAA